rnacentral:rRNA from 1 species
GAUGAACGCUAGCGGCAGGCCUAAUACAUGCAAGUCGGACGGGAUUCAGGAGCUUGCUUCUGAUGAGAGUGGCGCACGGGUGCGUAACACGUAUGUAACCUACCUUUAUCAGGGGGAUAGCCUCUCGAAAGAGAGAUUAAGCCCGCAUAAAAUCACAGCACAGCAUUGUGUAAUGAUCAAAUAUUUAUAGGAUAAAGAUGGGCAUGCGGAACAUUAGCUAGAUGGCGGGGUAACGGCCCACCAUGGCGACGAUGUUUAGGGGAUCUGAGAGGAUGGCCCCCCACACUGGUACUGAGACACGGACCAGACUCCUACGGGAGUCAGCAGUAAGGAAUAUUGGUCAAUGGGCGGAAGCCUGAACCAGCCAUGCCGCGUGCAGGAAGACGGCCCUACGGGUUGUAAACUGCUUUUAGACGGGAAUAAACCCAGAUACGUGUAUCUGGCUGAAUGUACUGGAAGAAUAAGGAUCGGCUAACUCCGUG